CUGAAGUGACCUGUUAAGCCCAGCUGGCUCCAGGAGAGUCCUUACAUCAUCCUCCAUCUCUGUAAUCAUGUCUAGCUCUGGGCUGCUGCAAAGUAGUGGAUGGAAGGGGGAGGGCAAAGGUUUAACAUCGGCCUGAGGAGAACCACCAAACUCAUGUCUUGCUUGAAGCUUGGUUCGAGCUGAUGGUAAGAGAUCACCUACUAAAAACACUGCCUGCCACAAGGUCGCAGCUCAUUCCCUUUUCUCCCCAUCCUCAUAAGGUUCAUUGCACAUGGGCAGCAGCCACAGAACUGAGGAGCCUGUGGUAAGAGCUCCAAGGAAGCUGGGGCGACCAGCUUCAAAGGUGCAUGAGAUGCAUUCCCUGAAUGUGGCAUAUCACAAAUUAAUCCCGGGAAAAGUCACAGCGAUUUCAUCUUAGACCAUCAUGGA